AUUAUGUGAAUAUUUUCUACAUCAUUGUGUGUGUUGAGGAACAGAAGUGGUGACUAAUUAAUUAAUUAAUUAAGAUUGACCAACAGUCUUGAGAUCGCAAAUUUGAAGUGCUGUUUGGCUGCACUGUAGGCCUACUGUUCAUUUUCAGAUUCUUCAUCGCCAUCGUACUCAGUGAAUGCCUGGAUUCUUUUAGUUGAGGCCUAAUGCAGUUUUUUUUUCCCCAAAUCAUCUGGAUUGUGUGAAUAUCAAAUAUCUCUUCCAUCAGUUGCUUACAUGCUUCUCUUCUAGGCCUAUUUAUUGCUUUCAUCAUGUGUGGUUAUGACUCUGUUGGACUGUGACUGACACCUUCAAAAUAAACUGAAGGAAUAAGAACAACAAUGGGAAGAAAAUGCUCAGUUGGUGGAUGCAAAACUGGCUAUGACAGUCAGAAAGGUGCAGAAAAAGUGACCUUGUAUGGAUUUCCUUCGGAUGAAACAGAAUGUCGGGCAUGGACUGCUAGCUUACCAAACAUUUUAUCCUAUGAAAAGGUGUCAAAAUA